rnacentral:SRP_RNA from 1 species
GUCAGGCGCGGUGGCGCGUGCCUGUGGUCCCAGAUACUCGGGAGGCUGAGGCGGGAGGACUGCUUGAGCCCAGGAGUUCGGGCGGCAGUGCGCUAUGCCGUUCGGGAGUCCGCACUAAGUUCGGCAUCACUAUGGUGACCUCCGGGAGCCGCCAGGUUGCCUAAGGAGGGGUGAACUGGCCCAGGUCAGAAAUGGAGCAGGUCAAAACUCCCGUGCUGAUCAGUAGUGGGAUUGUGUCGAUGAAAAGCCACCGCACUCCAGCCUGGGCAACAUAGCGAGACCCCGUCUCA